rnacentral:miRNA from 1 species
AUAACUGGGAAGAGAGAGG